AAUUUUCCUCUUUUAUGAGCGAGCCGCAUGGACGGCGAUGGAUACUCCAAAAUGCCCAUACAAAGUUCCCCCUCUUUAUUAUCUAUCUUCGGCCAAAAGAGGUGAAAGAACAACAUAAAAUUCCUUUAUUUCUUUUCACUUUGUUCCUUCUUCUUUGGCCUUCACAAUACCAAAUCUAAUUUGGGCAUCUUUAAUUCCCAUGUUCUUUCUAGGGUUUUGAAUUUCCCCCCUCCCUGGGUAUCCCUAAUUAUCCAUCAAGUUCCAAUUUUCAUUGUCUGGGUACUCUUAGAUCUCCCCUUUUUAAAAUUUUGGGAUCCUUUUUUGUUAUCGUAAAAAAAAAAAAAAGGUUUUCAAUGUCACAAGGUUUCUCAAUUGAGCUUUACUUCGAUCCAGCACUUGAGAACCAGGUCUUAAAAGCUUGGAAUGUUUUGGCUCGUCGUCAAAUCAGCACUCAGUUAAUUGAAAUCGAAUCAAGGCCACACAUUACUCUCUUUUCAAGCCCUUUUCUCGAUCCUGCAAAGCUUGAAUCCGUUAUAAAGUCCUUUGCUUCAAAGCAAGAACCUUUACCUCUUUCUUUUUCUUCAAUUGGGGCUUUCCCAAAUGAAAACAAUGUUCUCUUCCUUUCACCAGCUCCAACAAUGUCUCUCCUACAAUUCCAGGCUCAGGUAUGUGAGGCAAUUAAAAAAGAAGGGAUUGAAAUUGGGGAAGAGUUUAAAGCUGAUGCUUGGAUCCCUUAUUGUCCCGUAGCUCAAGAAGUGCCUAAAACAAGAAUGGCUGAGGCUUUUUGUGUGUUGAGAGAGUUGAAAUUGCCUGUUUCUGGGUAUGCAAUGGAUAUUGGAUUAGUGGAGUUUUCACCUGUUCGUGAACAUUUCUCAUUUGGACUUGGGAAUUCCAUAGACACAUAGAGAUUUGGAAGGUCCAUUAUUACAGUCAGGUGAGCCACUGGUGUACCAGAAGUGCCAUCAACAGGCCAAAUUUCAUAAAGAUUGAUUCCCGAGUACAUGGACAUUCUUUUCUAUUGGAAUCAAAGGGUAAAAAUAUUAUGGAGGCCUUUGUACUUGGAGUAAGAUUGCAUUUUGUCUCUUUUACUAAAAAAAUAGGUAAAUUAGUCUCUGUACGUUAGAUUAAAAAGCAAAUUGAUCUGUUUGUUAAAGAUUUGAUCCAUUUCUACCAUUACAAAUGGAUCCUUAUGUGUUAGCAUGAGGUAGGUUCACAUGCCACAUGCCACAUGUAACUGUUUGGUUAUUCUAUUAGCUAUGUUAGUUUUUAAUAAUACAAAUAGAUAAAAUUUUUAAUAAAAAAGACCAAUUUGCUCUUUGAUUUAACAUAAGAGACUAAUUUACUCAAUUUUUUAGUAGAAGAGUUAAAAUGUAAUUUAAGUCCCUGUACUGAACUUUCGUGGUACUUGUACCAAAUCAAAGUACAAUUUAUUCUCUUUGAUCCCUUGAGCUAUGUUAUCCAAACUUUUUCUAAAUUAUCCGUACGCGACGCAUGUGUUUGACACAUUCCAACAUGAGUAUGGAGGAGGUACAAAUACGAUCCUUUAAAUAUGAAAGUUUUUGGAAAAUAUGAGCACGCUCGUAAUGAUACUCAUCCCAAGUCUGGGUAAUAUAGCCCUUGAGCUCCAAUCCUGAAAUCUUCAUAGAAUUAUGUUUGCUUACUGGUACUACGAAAUAGGGCAAUCCAUUAAUCUUCUAGCAAGUUGUGCUUGUUCAGACAAUAUGCAAGCAGCCAUCACAAGAGGCCAACAUAAGGACAUGGUUCUAGACCCUUGUAAUCAGACAAAGAUACAUGAACCCAGGCUUGAUGUCCCUGUUAGUCACAACAUCAAAAGAAAAUACCAGAAACUACUCAUUCAAUAGGAGGAAUAAAUGAGAUCAUAAUCCCUGUAGAUUGAGACUUGCAAUGAGACAUUCUUAGUAUGAUGCCAAUAAAAUCACCCGGAUGGAGAAAUGGUGGUGACGAGCUGAGUAGGCAGUGGAUAUGACACAGGUAAAUUCUAUCAAAGGGGACCGGAGAGGUUUCUUCAGAAGUCGGUAAAAAAUCAGAAAAGUAAGCUAGUAAAAAAGGAAAUUGACAGAGUUUUUUCUUUUGUUUUCAGUUGAGUUAUCUCUGAAUAACCUGAACUGAAACUAUUAAUGCAUGUUUAUGGUUUGUUGUAAAGAGUUUUAGAUUCACAAGUGAGAGCCAUACACGAGUCCAUUGUUCUUCCAGGUACUUGGGCCUAACUCAUCUCUGUCCCAUUAUUGGUAUAAUUCUUUUGUAACUGAUGCUUAGGGUUUCAGUGGCAUAAACUGAACUUCUCAUUAUUGGUAUAAUUCUCAUUUACCCCUCCAUUAAUAUAAUACUGAUUUUAAUUAA